rnacentral:rRNA from 2 species
CUGAACCAGCCAAGUAGCGUGAAGGAUGACUGCCCUAUGGGUUGUAAACUUCUUUUAUACGGGAAUAAAGUGAGGCACGUGUGCCUUUUUGUAUGUACCGUAUGAAUAAGGAUCGGCUAACUCCGUGCCAGCAGCCGCGGUAAUACGGAGGAUCCGAGCGUUAUCCGGAUUUAUUGGGUUUAAAGGGAGCGUAGGCGGACGCUUAAGUCAGUUGUGAAAGUUUGCGG